GGAUGUUACAAUACCAGCACUAAAGCACUGGAUCCCAUCAGAACUCUAAAGUUUAGCAUGCUUAGGCAAGAGUAGUACUAGGAUGGGUGACCCCCAGGGAAGUCCUCGUGUCGCACUCC
rnacentral:rRNA from 15 species